AUUGAACGCUGGCGGCAGGCCUAACACAUGCAAGUCGAGCGGAUGAAGGGAGCUUGCUCCUGGAUUCAGCGGCGCACGGGUGAGUAAUGCCUAGGAAUCUGCCUGGUAGUGGGGGAUAACGUCCGGAAACGGGCGCUAAUACCGCAUACGUCCUGAGGGAGAAAGUGGGGGAUCUUCGGACCUCACGCUAUCAGAUGAGCCUAGGUCGGAUUAGCUAGUUGGUGGGGUAAAGGCCUACCAAGGCGACGAUCCGUAACUGGUCUGAGAGGAUGAUCAGUCACACUGGAACUGAGACACGGUCAAGACUCCUACGGGAGGCACCAGAGGGGAAUAUUGGACAAUGGGCGAAAGCCUGAUCCAGCCAUGCGGCGUGUGUGAAGAAGGUGUUCGGUUUGUAAAGCACUUUAAGUUGGGAGGAAGGGCAGUAAGUUAAUACCUUGCUGUUUUGACGUUACCAACAGAAUAAGCACCGGCUAACUUCGUG
rnacentral:rRNA from 1 species